rnacentral:sRNA from 1 species
AUUCUGCCCAUGCGGGGAAGGAUGAGAAGCUUCGACUAAGGUUCGGCUCGAGCGUCAGCAAGAGAGCGUUGCCGCAGGCAACGACCCGAAGGGCGAAGCGCGCAGCGCUGAGUAAUCCUUCCCCCACCACCA